UACGUAGGUGGCAAGCGUUGUCCGGAUUUACUGGGCGUAAAGAGCGCGCAGGCGGUCUUGUAAGUCGAAUGUGAAAGCCCCUGGCUCAACCGGGGAGGGUCAUUCGAUACUGCUCGACUCGAAGGCAGGAGAGGGAAGCGGAAUUCCCGGUGUAGUGGUGAAAUGCGUAGAUAUCGCUUGGAACGCCGACGGCGAAAGCAGUCUGCUGGGGGUGUGCUGACGCUGAGACACGAAAGCCAGGGGAGCGAACGGG
rnacentral:rRNA from 1 species